CUGGGGCUUCUCCGCGCUGCUGGGCCAGGAGCCCAGGAGCAGCUGACAGUGGGGACAGACAGGUGCUUUCCCAACCCUAAGGCCAGGCAGCGCUCCUUUUCCACACCGGCUGGCUCAGGCAUGAGUUCCCUGGGACGAUCCUCUUCUACAGUCUCACCUGACAUCCAGGGAGACUGUUUUAGAGACAAGAUCCUUUUACAGUGCGACAACACCAAAAAUAAAUAAAUGGAGUGUGACAGCCGUCCAGUGAACAUCUCCAGGGGUGUACAGGCGAGAAGGAGCCGCGGGACGCCGUGGCACAGCUGCAGCAGGACAAGUCAAGGCGACACCCUGUUCUGGAAGAGAAAGCCCUUGGGCCUUAUCAGCACACCUUUGGCCGAUAAUCGCCAGUCCACCAAAGGAAAGCACAAUCGGUGCAUGAACGUAGUCACGAGUCCCCUCCUUUCAGGAAUGAGCGUUGAUGCUGCAAAUCUUUACCUCAGGCUUCUAGUGUCCGGCGUACAAUCCCGGCAGAGAACUCCAGGCACUGUCCUGGUCUGGUGCGUUCGGGGUGCAGCCCGGAGAUGCAGGCCCUAAAGGCAUGUACGAGGCUUGACUGGAAUUUUCAGAGUUCAGACAUGAGCUUUCACCCAUCAGACACCGCGCCUGGCCCCUGCCGUCCCCACCACGGAGUCCUCUUGCCAGACCCCUGAACUCGUCCUGUUGCUUCCUCAGCCCCAGCACCCCACAGCCUGGGAGCCCAGGGCCCUGUCUGUUCCUGCUGGGAUGCUGCCUCCACCCAGCGCUUCUUGCCAGUGUCAUCCCAUCUUCACCUAACAGGCAACAUCUACCCAAUCAGGGUUUAAACCCAUCACCAUGCCAGGCCCUAUAAAGGGUGGAGCCUGGGGUGUCAUCCGUGGAGCUCAGGGCAGAAAGCCACCGCGGGAAGCCCAGCCAGCCGCUCUGGAGGCUCAUCCUGGAAGGAGGUUUUUUUGUUUGUUUGUUUGUUUGUUUGUUUUUCUGAAGAUGGUCUUUAAUACUAGUGAUUCCAUUCCUAGUUUGUCUUCGAGCAGCCUCUAGUGUCAGCUCUGGGCAGCAUUUGACUGGCACCCAACGAGGGAAAUAAAAUCAGUACGUAUCUUAAAUAUCCCUGUUUUCAGAUUCCCAGAAGCACAGGAGGGAAUCCUGGAAGUGGCGUCUGGGAAAUCCCGUCAGCAUGGAUUUAGAUCUCAGAACCUCGUUCCUGGGUGCCGCCUCCAGGGCAGAGCCCGGGGCGGAAAGCACAGAUGGUGAUCCCAACCGGGGACCUGCGCCCCAGAAGCCGGCGUCUGUGCUCCCGGACACUCUGCUCAACUUAUUUCGAAGUGGUAACAACUCGCUGGCAGGGCAGGAGCUGCAGAGGCUGUACCAGGCGUUCCAUUCGUGGCUGCAGCCGGAGCAGCACAGCAAGGAGGAGAUGAUCUGUCAGGUGGUCCUGGAGCAGUUUAUGCUCAACAGGCGCCGCAGCGACAGGUCUGCCUUGAAGAUGCAAUGGGAAGCCAGCGGCAAAAACCUGGAGAGAUUUCUGGAAGGCCUGAGCGAUGACGCCGUGCAGCCGCCGGCCUUGGUGCACGUGCGCAUGCAGGGCCAGGAGGCGCUCUUCUCCGAGAACAUGCCCGUGAGAGAGGUGAUCGCCCACCUCACGAGACAGCGCUCAGCAGGAGCCCCCGCGGGGGCCAGCCUGGAGGGGGCCGCGCUGG